GGCUGUACUAGCUCAGGAGUGGAGCAUCUGCUUUGCAUUCAGAAGGUCCCAGGUUCGAUCCCUGGCUGGUUUUUACCCA